rnacentral:sRNA from 1 species
ACAAGUCAUUUCCUUUAUGAAUGACCAUAAAUAUUAGAGCUAUGUUUUACACUGAGAUGAACUAUGUUUUCUUAAAACUGCUUUCACAACUCUUACAUAGCUUCAUCCCUGGUUUCUCUUUAGUUUCUUUUAUAAAUAUCCAUAGUUCCUUCAAACAUUUUUCAUAUGAUUUCAUCUCAAAGUUUAGUGCAAGCCAUGUUUAGCUUCAAGUGUCAAGGCCAGAACUGCCACAAAAAUGUCCAGAUGUAGCUUGGCAUAUGCAGUACCAAGUCCACUGUUUAUGUUUUCUUUCAUGAUCUAGGUACUAUGUAAUUACUACUGGUCUACAAAUGGUAUCAUGACCCUUAAAAAAACUACAUUCUAUAAACAUUAUGCAUUAUGGUUAUAAAUAAUAACUUUCCCCAAGUCUUGUUUCAGGGACUGUUUUUAAACCAGUAUUCCCAUGUUAAAUCUUAGUCUUUUAACAGACUUAACUCAAAGGCAACUUUAAGACCGGGGUCAAAUGUUUUUUCGUCGCCAGUUUCAGUUUGCUGUGCUCAGUUGUUAUCCCAUUGGGUAGAAAGUGGAGUCUCACGGUCAGCAUAUUUAUUCUCCUUUUCAAUCAGUGCUGUAGUCUUGUCUGGAGACGCAGGGUUCCACGGAAGUUCCCGUGAAUCCUGCUCUAAUGAGGUCAUUUGAAGUAUGAUGAAGAAGCAAACAAGAGUGACCGCUAAGCUGAUUGCAUGUAGGUUGGAAUUUCCCAACCUCAAAGAACUGGACUCUGCCAACAAGCUGAGUAACUUUGGAAGACGUCCUCAAGACUAGACCAUGGUUACUACCUUGAUUGCUGAGCACCAGUGGAAGGGGAAGCCCUGGGUCCUGCUAAGAAUGAACCCCCAGUGAAGGUCUUGUUCCGAGGCAGGGGAAGCAUCAGGUGCCUACCGAAGAAACCAAGCUGGCUAAACUAGCAACUGGAGGUUGCUCUGAAGGACAAACCAAGAUUACAGGAAGAGAAAGGGAAAAGUCGUUAGGAGACUCUGCCAGUUGGGAGAGAAUCAACUGGACUAUGACGUUGGCAGAAGCAGCUAUGAGAGUGGACAUAUGUGGGAAAUUUCCCAAAGGUAGAGCUUCCAUAACUCACUGAAGGAUUAACUAGGAAGAUGAAGAAACAAGAGGGAUCAAUCAUAAAUGAUCUUAAGCAUUCAAGAAUUCGAUCUGAAUAACUGAAUGCAAAGAAAUUACUAG